rnacentral:rRNA from 1 species
AUGCAGCGGCUGCAGGCCGCCGGCGCCGAUCUCCGGAUCGUCGAUCCUAACCAGCUCCGUGAUGAUCGUGAUGAUGAUGAUGAUGAUGAUGAUGAUGGCAGUGAUGAUGCUAUGGUGGUAUCUGUACCUGCCAGCGUCGAACAAGCCUAUGCUGCAGCUGCCGCUGCGGCGCUGCACCCCAAACCUCGUGACCAGGCAGAGCUUCUCAGACCAUCUAAUCCAAUGCUGCGGAUGGCCUCCAAAUAUCUCAAGGAUGGCGGCAUGCUCUCCGGUGUCGACGCCGGCCAUGUUGCCGAAGGUUUGUUCUAUUCCAUUAGCGAGUGCCCGGAACAAACCGAGCACCCAGAAGCAAGCAUCAAGGUGGUGAACAAGUUGACCUACACGAGGAUGGAACAACAGGUAAACAAAUUCUGGGAUCAGCAUGCCAGAGUCGUCGGAACAGUGAGAUCUUUGCUCGACGUGUACAACCGGCGGCAACCCGGGCUACAAUCGACGGCAGUGGUGGCCAGUGGGGAUGACGGAGAAAGACAUACCCGUAUUAUGUAG